rnacentral:rRNA from 1 species
GAGUAACGCGUGGGUAACCUGCCUCAUACAGGGGGAUAACAGUUAGAAAUGACUGCUAAUACCGCAUAAGCGCACAGUUUCGCAUGGAACAGUGUGAAAAACUCCGGUGGUAUGAGAUGGACCCGCGUCUGAUUAGCUGGUUGGCGGGGUAACGGCCCACCAAGGCGACGAUCAGUAGCCGGCCUGAGAGGGUGAACGGCCACAUUGGGACUGAGACACGGCCCAAACUCCUACGGGAGGCAGCAGUGGGGAAUAUUGCACAAUGGGGGAAACCCUGAUGCAGCGACGCCGCGUGAAGGAAGAAGUAUUUCGGUAUGUAAACUUCUAUCAGCAGGGAAGAAAAUGACGGUACCUGACUAAGAAGCCCCGGCUAACUACGUG